UACGAGUGCCCCAAGCGUUAUCCGGAAUCAUUGGGCGUAAAGGGUGUGUAGGUGGUCUCUUUAGUCUUCUGUCAAAAUCCAGGGCUCAACCCCGGACUUGCAGAGGAAACGGGGAGACUCGAGGGUGCGAGGGGUGAAUGGAACUCAUGGAGUAGGGUGAAAUCCGUUGAUAUCAUGGGGAACACCAAAAGCGAAGGCAAUUCACUGGCGCACAUCUGACACUGAAACACGAAAGCGUGGGUAGCGAACGGG
rnacentral:rRNA from 1 species